UACGUAGGGUGCAAGCGUUGUCCGGAAUUAUUGGGCGUAAAGAGCUCGUAGGCGGUUUGUUGCGUCGGCUGUGAAAUCCCGAGGCUCAACCUCGGGUCUGCAGUCGAUACGAGCAAACUAGAGUGUUGCAGGGGAGACUGGAAUUCCUGGUGUAGCGGUGAAAUGCGCAGAUAUCAGGAAGAACACCCGUGGCGAAGGCGGUUCUCUGGGACGGUACUGACGCUGAGACGCGAAAGCGUGGGGAGCGAACAGG
rnacentral:rRNA from 1 species